AAAAAAUGAAUUAGAAAAACAACGGCGUUGCUAGCACAAAAUUGCGAUCAUCGCAACUGGAUCGGAUGACACAAAUGUCACGCCUCAUACACGUAUAUGUGAAAACGGCGUAUUGACACGAUCCGAUCCGAAAACAUAAUCAAAUUAUAACAUAAAAUAGAAAUAUAAACUAUUACCAAAUUGUGCGUACGAUAGUAUAGAUCAGCCACUCUCAGUUUCUCUUUUUUGUUCUGUCUUUUUGCCUCCUUCUAUCAGUCAUGCUAGUAAUUAU
rnacentral:lncRNA from 1 species